AUUGAACGCUGGCGGCAGGCCUAACACAUGCAAGUCGAACGAGUGGCGGACGGGUGAGUAAUGUCUGGGAAACUGCCAGAUGGAGGGGUAUAUCUACUGGAAACUGUAGCUAAUACCGCAUACCAUCAGAUGUGCCCAGAGGGGAUUAGCGUGUUGGUGGGGUAACGCCUCACCAAGGCGACGAGCCCUAGCUGGUCUGAGAGGAUGACCAGCCACACUGGAACUGAGACACGGUCCAGACUCCUACGGGAGGCAGCAGUGGGGAAUAUUGAACAAUGGGCGCAAGCCUGAUGCAGCCAUGCCGCGUGUGUGAAGAAGGCCUUCGGGUUGUAAAGCACUUUCAGCGGGGAGGCGUUACCCGCAGAAGAAGCACCGGCUAACUCCGUGCCAGCCGCCGCGGUAAUUC
rnacentral:rRNA from 1 species